GGAAUUUUCCGCAAUGGGCGAAAGCCUGACGGAGUGACGCCGCGUGGGGGACGAAGGCCUUCGGGUCGUAAACCCCUGUCAGAGGGAAAGAAGGGUGUCGGCGCGAUAACCGCCGGCACUUGACGGUACCUUCAGAGGAAGCCCCGGCCAACUCUGUGCCAGCAGCCGCGGUAAUACGGGGGGGGCAAGCGUUGUUCGGAAUUACUGGGCGUAAAGGGCUCGUAGGCGGCCAACUAAGUCGGAUGUGAAAUCCCCAGGCUCAACCUGGGAACUGCAUCCGAUACUGGAUGGCUUGAAUUCGGGAGAGGGAUGCAGAAUUCCAGGUGUAGCGGUGAAAUGCGUAGAUAUCUGGAGGAAUACCGGUGGCGAAGGCGGCAUCCUGGACCGACAUUGACGCUGAGGAGCGAAAGCUAGGGGAGCAAAC
rnacentral:rRNA from 1 species